rnacentral:sRNA from 1 species
CUCACUCGCGCGUUAGGAGGCUCGGGUCGUUGUGGUGCGCCGUGUUCCCGCUUGCGUCAGGGACCUGCCCGACUCAGUGGCCGCCAUGGCAUCAGAUGAAGGCAAACUUUUUGUUGGAGGGCUGAGUUUUGACACCAAUGAGCAGUCGCUGGAGCAGGUCUUCUCAAAGUACGGACAGAUCUCUGAAGGUGAGGCUGCUGCUGGGCCCGCGGCCCUGGGCGGGGGGGGCUUGUGCUCCUCCUACCUGGAAGUACAGCUGGGUGCUGACUGCAGAUCUCUCUCCCCUGCACAGUGGUGGUUGUGAAAGACAGGGAGACCCAGAGAUCUCGGGGAUUUGGGUUUGUCACCUUUGAGAACAUUGACGACGCUAAGGAUGCCAUGAUGGCCAUGAAUGGGAAGGUGAGGAUCAGGGUGCUGAGCGGGAGUCCCAUCUCGAGGAUGGGGCACCCACCCGCUAACCCGUCCCGCCCUCUGUCUCCAGUCUGUAGAUGGACGGCAGAUCCGAGUAGACCAGGCAGGCAAGUCGUCAGACAACCGAUCCCGUGGGUACCGUGGUGGCUCUGCCGGGGGCCGGGGCUUCUUCCGCGGGGGCCGAGGACGGGGCCGUGGGUUCUCUAGAGGAGGAGGGGACCGAGGCUAUGGGGGGAACCGGUUCGAGUCCAGGAGUGGGGGCUACGGAGGCUCCAGAGACUACUAUAGCAGCCGGAGUCAGAGUGGUGGCUACAGUGACCGGAGCUCGGGCGGGUCCUACAGAGACAGUUAUGACAGUUACGGUAAGUCACACUCCGAGGGCGCCACGCUGCUGUGGCCUGCGGUGGGAGCUCGGUUCACCUUGGUGCCCUCUCCAAGCACUUUAGGCUGGACACUCAGACCUUGUCACUGUGCUUGCCCAGAAGAGGCGCAUCUGUCCUCAGAGCCAUUUCUAUCGCAGGAUGCAAAAGCCAAAUGAGACUGACCAAAAAGGCAAGGGAGAGCGAGGGCCCGCUGGGCAGUCAGCUAGGUGCAUGUGUGGCCACAGGCCAGCCUCCCUCGGCUGUGGGGGGUGGUUGCUCCCCGGCCGCAGGCCGCGCCCUGGUCUGGCCUCUGGGGUGAAGCUGCCUCUCGUUGCUUCGGUGCCUUUACACUGUGCCUGCUUCUUGUCCUCAGCUACACACAACGAGUAAAAACCCUUCCUGCUCAAGAUCGUCCUUCCAAUGGCUGUGUGUUUAAAGAUUGUGGGAGCUUCGCUGAACGUUAAUGUGUAGUAAACGCACCUCCUUGUAUUCCCACUUUCGUAGUCAUUUCGGUUCUGAUCUUGUCAAACCCAGCCUGACCGCUUCUGACGCCGGGAUGGCCUCGUUACUAGACUUUUCUUUUUAAGGAAGUGCUGUUUUUUUUGAGGGGUUUCAAAACAUUUUGAAAAGCAUUUACUUUUUUGACCACGAGCCAUGAGUUUUCAAAAAAAUCGGGGGUUGUGUGGGUUUUUGGUUUUUGUUUUAGUUUUUGGUUGCGUUGCCUUUUUUUUUUUAGUGGGGUUGGCCCCAUGAAGUGGGUGCCCCAUUCACUUCUCUGAGAUCGAACGGACUGUGAAUCCGCUCUGUCGGAAGCUGAGCAAGCUGUGGCUUUUUUCCAACUCCGUGUGACGUUUCUGAGUGUAGUGUGGUAGGACCCCGGCGGGUGUGGCAGCAACUGCCCUGGAGCCCCAGCCCCUGCGUCCAUCUGUGCUGUGCGCCCCACAGUAGACGUGCAGACGUCCCUGAGAGGUUCUUGAAGAUGUUUAUUUAUAUUGUCCUUUUUUACUGGAAGACGUACGCAUACUCCAUCGAUGUUGUAUUUGCAGUGGCUGAGGAAUUCUUGUACGCAGUUUUCUUUGGCUUUACGAAGCCGAUUAAAAGACCGUGUGAAAUGAACCUUGCUCUGACAAUUCCCUUGCAUUGCACCACACACUCCUUGCUGCGGGCUCCUGCAGCCAGACCUGAGCAGAGAGAGAAGGUGGAGAAGCAGUGGGUCUGCAAGCCUUGCCUGGGGCCUGCAGAGCUAGAAAGGGAGGCCCAGCAGACUGGCGCUGGUCAGGGUAGGGGAGCCAGGCGGGGGACGGGAGCGGGCAGCUCAGGCCUCAGGGCAGCCCUGGGAGGCUUCUGGCAGUGGUGGCCAGAGGGCUGGACUGUGCGGGCAGCUUAACAGGGACAGUGGACGUGCACCUGACGCUGACCUGGACUGCCUCAGUCUAGAAGCAGGCCAGAGAGCAGAGGCACGUGGCAUCUCAGGGCGACCUCAGACGGCCAGCCGGUUAGCUAGUUCUGCUGUUGCUUCACGAGUUCUGAGCAUUCUCUGCUAGCCUAUGGAAGCUGCAGCCCUCGGAGGACAGAAGUGUUGUGCGCCCAACAGAACCCUCUGAGACGCAAGCUGCUCCCUUGGCUAGCUCAUAUGUGGAAAUAGCCCUGUAAUUCGAGGUAACUCCUUCCGCUCGUGUCCACAUCCCUCUUGUUGAGAGCUCACUGAAAGUCAUGUGCCCGGGGAAUGUUCCUGUGACUGUUUUUUGUUUUUCCUUUUUUUUUUUUUAACUUUUUGUUUUUUUCAAUUAAGCUGGAACUAAAGUCAGGCCCGGCCAUUACGCUCCCCACGUGCAGCCAGGUGCAGCCUGGGCCCAGUCAUGCCUGGCUCAUAGAUGAGAUCCCUUAAGCAGGAUUGGAGACCAGUGAACACCCCCGCCUUUUGGAUUUUUUGCUCAUCAAUUGACCGUCUUUUCCAGACCUCUUAAGUCACACUCUUAGCUUUCUCUGAUGUCUGUUGCCGCCAUUAGUUUUUUUCUAGAGCCCACACUGGCCCACAUAGCUCCAUCCCAUACGGGUAGCUGGCUCCAGCUGCGCCACGGUGCAGACCCGCCCUGGGCAUGCUGGCCUGUGACGGAGCCUGAGGUCACAGCCCCCUGACUAGCCUGAGACCUUCCUAGGGGCUGUGGCUGUUUCCGGGGAGGCCGGGAGGGGCAGCUGUGAGCCCCAUGGAGGACGUCGGGAGUAACGCUGCUUUGCUUUGGCAGGUUGAAGGGGCCCGGCCAGGACUCGGGGAAGGGUGGCCUGAGAGCAGCGAUGACCUCUGGGGUCACUGUCCCAGGAGGGACUUCACCUGGAACGAGAGCUGGAGGCAGCCGCUUGCCCAGGAGGCUUGUCCCCUGUAAGUGCUUUCGGGAAGAGUGGCAUGUGGCGCUGAGCCCUGUCCCGGGCGACACCUGGGCGUUUCAGUGAGUCCUGCUCUCCCGCACCUAUGGCCCCGCGGCGGGCGCCUUUCGGUGUGUGUUGGGUGCAGGGCAGCGCCUCCCGGGAGCGCCGGGUCCCCCGCCUGGAGCCCGCGCCUGUUCUCCCUCCCUCCUCCUCCUUCCAGGAGGCGCUUCGCCAGUGAGGUGCGGGCUCAGGGCCUCGAGUCUCUCCUGGAGCACGGGCUGCGGUGCGCUGGCAGCUUACGGGGCGGCCAGUCCUUGCCCACAACGAUGUGGAGCCCUGUGAAAGUCGGAUUCGAAUAAAGGGCCACGUGUGCACCCAG